rnacentral:rRNA from 1 species
CCUACGGGGGUCUGCAGUGGGGAAUAUUGCACAAUGGGGGAAACCCUGAUGCAGCGACGCCGCGUGAGUGAAGAAGUAUUUCGGUAUGUAAAGCUCUAUCAGCAGGAACGAGACAAGACGGUACCUGACUAAAAAGCCCCGGCUAACUACGUGCCAGCAGCCGCGGUACUACGUAGGUGGCAAGCGUUCUCCGGAAUCACUGGGUGUAAAGGGAGCGUAGACGGCUGAGCAAGCCUGAGGUGAAAGGCGGGGGCCCAACCCCCGGACUGCUUUGGGAACUGUACGGCUGGAGUGCAGGAGAGGUAAGGGGAAUUCCUAGGGUAGCGGUGAAAUGCGUAGAUAUUAGGAGGAACACCAGGGGCGAAGGCGGCUUACUGGACUGUAACUGACGUUGAGGCUCGAAAGCGUGGGGAGCAAACAGGAUUAGAUACCCUUGUAGUC